UCCUCCUCUAAUAACUAUGUCCUUCCUUGGGAAUAACACAGAGAACUGCACAGGGGCCUGGCUCUUUGUGAAAUCAUUCAAUAAGGAUUUAUUUAUGAAAUGCUGAUUAUAUGGUGGUUCUGCUUAUGUAGUAAGGAAAUGUGGCUGAUUUAAAGGACUGAGAUCUCUAUUAGAAGGAGCAGAUUGCAUUCCCAAGCUUUCUCCAAUUAUCCAAGUUAAGACAAACUUGACCAUGAAGGUAGGAGUGAUUGAGACCCAUCAUUCCCAUACAAUUGUUCCCAGUGUGGUAGUGCAUGACACCAGUAAGGACCCUGGAUUGAUGCACAAAGGGGAAAACAGGCAACAAUAUCUACCUGGAGUAUUUGCAUGCUACAAUAUUAACAAUAAUAGUAAUAAAGAUGAAGAGGAGAAGAAAAGGAAAAAAGAAAAGAAGAGGUAAGAUGAAGAGUAAUAAUACUACUAUUUCUAAGAUAUUUAGGUUUUUUCUAAAUAUGUUUAACUUGGUCUUUAACAAUGGAAAUUAUUUCUUAGCAAGCCAGAAAAAAAAAAGGAUGGAGAAAGACAAAAGAACAAAG